rnacentral:rRNA from 1 species
CGAUCCUAGCUUGCUAGGAGGCGUCGAGCGGCGGACGGGUGAGUAAUGCAUAGGAAUCUGCCCGGUAGUGGGGGAUAACUUGAGGAAACUCAAGCUAAUACCGCAUACGCCCUACGGGGGAAAGCAGGGGCUCUUCGGACCUUGCGCUAUCGGAUGAGCUUAUGUCGGAUUAGCUGGUUGGUGAGGUAACGGCUCACCAAGGCGACGAUCCGUAGCUGGUCUGAGAGGAUGAUCAGCCACAUCGGGACUGAGACACGGCCCGAACUCCUACGGGAGGCAGCAGUGGGGAAUAUUGGACAAUGGGGGCAACCCUGAUCCAGCCAUGCCGCGUGUGUGAAGAAGGCCCUCGGGUUGUAAAGCACUUUCAGCGAGGAAGAAUGCUUGUCGGUUAAUACCCGGCAAGGGAGACAUCACUCGCAGAAGAAGCACCGGCUAACUCCGUGCCAGCAGCCGCGGUAAUACGGAGGGUGCGAGCGUUAAUCGGAAUUACUGGGCGUAAAGCGUGCGUAGGCGGCUUGAUAAGCCGGUUGUGAAAGCCCCGGGCUCAACCUGGGAACGGCAUCCGGAACUGUUAGGCUAGA